GGCUUAGAAGCAGCCACUCAUUUAAAGAGUGCGUAAUAGCUCACUGGUCGAGUGAUCCUGCGCCGAAAAUUUCCGGGGCUAAAACGUACUACCGAAGCUACGGCAUCAUUUAUGAUGGGUAGGGGAGCUUCGUAUGCAGGCUGAAGCAUGACCGUAAGGACAUGUGGACAGUAUACGAGUGAGAAUGUUGGCAUGAGUAGCGAGACGUGGGUGAGAAUCCCACGGGCCGUAAACCCAAGGUUUCCAGGGGAAGGUUCGUCCGCCCUGGGUUAGUCGGGACCUAAGCCGAGGCCGAAAGGCGUAGGUGAUGGACAACAGGUUGAUAUUCCUGUACCGCCAAUAAGCGUUUGAGAGAUGGAGUGACACAGUAGGAUAAGCUAACCGUACUGUUGGUUAUGUACGGCUAAGCAUUGAGGCAGUCUAAAUAGGCAAAUCCGUUUAGACAAUGCUAGGAUGUGAUGGGGAAGCCCUUCGGGGCGAAGUAGCUGAUUUCACACUGUCAAGAAAAGCUUCUAUCGAGUUUAAAGGCGCCCGUACCGUAAACCGACACAGGUGGGUGAGGAGAGUAUCCUAAGGCCAGCGAGAGAACUAUUGUUAAGGAACUCGGCAAAAUGACCCCGUAACUUAGGGAGAAGGGGUGCCUGUCUAUGACAGGCCGCAGAGAAUAGGCCCAAGCGACUGUUUACCAAAAACACAGGUUUCUGCUAAGUCGCAAGACGAUGUAUAGGAGCUGACGCCUGCCCGGUGCUGGAAGGUUAAGGGGAUCUGUUAGAGCAAUCGAAGCAGUGAACUUAAGCCCCAGUAAACGGCGGCCGUAACUAUAACGGUCCUAAGGUAGCGAAAUUCCUUGUCGGGUAAGUUCCGACCCGCACGAAAGGCGUAACGAUUUGGGCACUGUCUCAACAAUAGACUCGGUGAAAUUGUAAUCCCGGUGAAGAUGCCGGGUACCUGCGACAGGACGGAAAGACCCCAUGGAGCUUUACUGUAGCUUGACGUUGGGUCUUGGUACUACAUGUACAGGAUAGGUGGGAGACUAUGAAGCAUGGACGCCAGUCUGUGUGGAGUCAUCCUUGGGAUACCACCCUUGUAGUACUGGGAUCCUAACCAUAGGCCUUGAAUCAGGUCUUGGAACACCGUCAGGUGGGCAGUUUGACUGGGGCGGUCGCCUCCUAAAAAGUAACGGAGGCGCUCAAAGGUUUCCUCAGCACGGUCGGAAAUCGUGCGAAGAGUGUAAAGGCAAAAGGAAGCUUGAUUGCAAGACAUACAGGUCGAGCAAGGACGAAAGUCGGACUUAGUGAUCCGGUGGUACCGCAUGGAAGGGCCAUCGCUCAACGGAUAAAAGCUACCCUGGGGAUAACAGGCU
rnacentral:rRNA from 1 species